UUGCAUAACCCAUAGUUUCUUUCCCAAUUUGUUAAUUGUUAAACUUAAUUGGGAUCUAUUUCAUAAUGCAUUAUAUAUAGUUGAAGGUGGUGGAUUGUGGUAGUGAUUAUGAACUUUCUCUUCAAUUUAUCGUGUCUCAAGUUCAAAAUCUUUUGUAAUAAAACACUCGGUGUAUUUAGUUGAGAGCGAUCAUCUCCAAUAGACUCCUUAAUUAAGAGCAUCGAUCUCCAAUGAGAGAUGUUAAAAUGUCUUUAAUAUGUAUUUUAUUUUUUUGAUUAACUGAAAAAUUCUCCAAUAAAGAGAUAUAAAACAUCCAUCUUGACCGGAAAAUAUAAAUAAAACUUAAAUUACAUUUUUUUCUUUCUAUUCCCAUCUUAAAAUAUAACUAAGUUUUCUUGUAUGAACAUGAACAUGAACAUGCCACAACUAAUCAUUUAAUUAAUCCAGUGUUAGUCAAACCCAUUAGAAAAGGCCAUAUAAUUAAUGAUCACAAGGUAGAAUGAAAAGGACUUCCAUGUUCUAUGUACCUGUGUGUCAACUUGUAGGUUAAGCAUUAUUUUAUAGGAAAACUAAUGAAAAAAGUUUGAAAACUUUGAGUUUUAACGAAAAGGACAAAAUAAAAUGUAAAGUGAAUAGUACAAAGAUUGACUUUUUAAUGUAAAAAUAUGGUUUUUCGUUAAAGUGAACAGUACCGGAAACUUUUCGUUAGAGUUCCUUUAUUUUAUGAGUAAAUUGUAGAUAUGGUCCCUUAACUUUAACUCAAUUGGAGCUUCUGUCCCUCAACUAAAAAUUCAUUACCAUUGGUCUCUCAACUCAUCAAAACAUGCGGCUAUGGUCCAUCAACUAAAAAUUCAUUAUCAUUGGUCCCUCAAUUUUAAUUCAAUUAGAGAAAUGAUCCCUUAACUUUAACCUAAUUGUAGCAAUGGUCAUUCCAACAUAACUCGUUUUGACAAAAUUUUUGAUGUAGUUGACGAAAAUGACCAUAAUUACACACUUUGAUGAGUUGAGAGACCCUAAUUAUAUAAAUGGUUAUUCCAACAUAACUUAUUUGACAAAAUUUUGACGAAAUUGAUGAAAAUGACUAUAGUUACACAUUUUGAUAAGUUGAGGGACCAAUGGUAAUGAAUUUUUAGUUGAGGGACCAUUGCUCCAAUUUGAUUAAAAUUGAUGGACCAUUGUUACAAUUUACUCUUAUUUUAUUUGAUCAUUUCUCUUUAAUUUUCGAUUAAAAUAAAGGUCAUAUCACAUGGAAUAGCAUUGGGUGCCGUCUUCCCCGAUCUUCCAAGCAUCUCAAAACCUAAUAAUCUAAAAAGAAAUUCAAUUGGAAACAUUAUUAUACAUCCAGUGUGGAUACCAAGACAGAAAAGCUUGCAGAGUUAAUAAUUUUGGCAAAGCAAUCUUGAUGCCUUGUGGGUUUUGACUGUUUAUGGUAAUGCAAUAUAAAACAUUUCGGGUACGAAAAAUACUCCAAUUGCAAUAAGAAAAAUACGGAUUUGGAUCAUCUCCGGAUCCAUUUUCUGGGAAUCCUAAUGAUCAACACACGUGGACCGUUGAUAAAAAAUCGUACGGUCAUAAUUUUUUUUAUUUAUAUUUUUCAUGUAAAACGAGACUACUUUACUUUUAAAAAUAUAAAAAGUAUUUAAUUGAGACAGCACGAUUUUUUAUCAACGGUCCAGAUGUGUUGAUCCCUAGAUCCCCAAAGAGGGGAUCUGGCGAGGAUCCAAAUCCGAAAAAUACUACCUUCCAAAAGUUUUCUGACAUCCAAACAUGCAUGAGUAUUAGAGGUAAAAGUAACUCAACUUUAAUUAAAGAAUAAUGAUUUUUCUACGACAUGUCUUCGAAAGAUAUUAUUGCAUGCAAGAAUUUCUCUAAAAGAUUGAGUGGGUGUGAAUCACUAGAAUAUUAAUUAAUGAUUAUAUAUGUAUGUAUCGAAUUAAAGAAUAAUGAUUUUUUUACGACAUGUCUUCGAAAGAUAUUAUUGCAUGCAAGAAUUUCUCUAAAAGAUUGAGUGGGUGUGAAUCAUUAGAAUAUUAAUUAAUGAUUAUAUAUGUAUGUAUCGAUCGAAUGGAGUGGAUUGGCUAAACAUAUUAGUGAAAAUAAAAUGGGUACGGCUAAACAUAUUAGUGAAAAUAAAAGGUGCACGGCUAAGCAUAUAUAUGUAUAUUGAACACAUUAAUAUGAGUUCGUAGGGGCAAUGAAAAUUCCCUAUGUUACUAGAUUCUAUUUGG
rnacentral:lncRNA from 1 species